rnacentral:rRNA from 1 species
GACGAACGCUGGCGGCGUGCUUAACACAUGCAAGUCGAGCGGUAAGGCCCUUUCGGGGGUACACGAGCGGCGAACGGGUGAGUAACACGUGGGUGACCUGCCCUCAGCUCUGGGAUAAGCCUGGGAAACCGGGUCUAAUACUGGAUAUGACUCCAUGACGCAUGUUGUGGGGUGGAAAGCCUUGUGCGGCUGAGGAUGGGCCCGCGGCCUAUCAGCUUGUUGGUGGGGNGAUGGCCUACCAAGCGACGACGGGUAGCCGGCCUGAGAGGGCGACCGGCCACACUGGGACUGAGACACGGCCCAGACUCCUACGGGAGGCAGCAGUGGGGAAUCUUGCGCAAUGGGCGAAAGCCUGACGCAGCGACGCC